AGAAAUUACCCUUGUUUGGAGAACUUCAAAAAAUUAUCAGAUGAGAACUCACAGAAGGCCAGCAAACUCCACACAGUCAUGCAACCAGAGCCUCAGACAAUGGCCCCUUCUGCUGAGGACCCUUAAAUAAGCUUCUGAGGGAGACUGCCGUUUUCCCAAAACAGCGCCCCCUGUCAGCAGGAAGCAGUUAAGAUCAGUCUUCGUCCUUAUCCUUAUCCUUAUUCUAAUGGCAGUUAGAUGUACUUCUUCAGAGUGGCAGAAUUAGGUAGCCAAGUAAGAAGCGCCCCCUGGCAGAACCUCUGACCAGCUUGCCCACUGGGAGGAGUGCGCACUGGGGUGGAACGUUGGAAAGUUCACACCAUUUGCAUGGGGGAGGAGCCUGGCCUCUCCUGAUGUGGGGCGGUAACCUGGGAUUCAAUCUGUGAGGUGGGAAGCCAGCUAGCGAGACUCUCACUUCGCCGAGUGUCUCUGUUUCCCUUUUUUCCUUUUCACCCAAUAAAUUCCAUUUUUCUCACCCUUCAAAUUGUCUGCGGGGCUAAUCUUUGAUGGUCAAGUGACAAGAACCUGG
rnacentral:lncRNA from 1 species